rnacentral:lncRNA from 1 species
GCAUGAUUGUUUUUGAAAUGUGUAAAGGACAUGAGAUUUGGAAGGAGCUGGGGCAGAAUGAUAUGGUUUGUCUCUGUGUCCCCACCCAGAUCUCAUCUCAGAUUGUAAUUUUCACAUGUUAAGGAAGGGACCUGGUGGGAGGUGACUGGUUCAUGGGGGUGUUUUCCCCUAUGCUAUUCUCAUGAUAGUGAGGGAGUUCUCAUGAGAACUGAAGGUGUAAAAGUAGCAGUUUCCCCUGUGCUCUCUCUCUUACCUGCUGCCUUGUGAAGAAAAUGCUUGCUUCCUCUAUGAUUUCUGCCACGAUUAGAUGAAAACCAUGAAGCUAAGAACAGCAAAGCAAAUUUCCCUGAAUUGUGUGACUGUUGGUAGAACAGGGUUCACGCGUUUCACUCCACACAGUUUUGAUGCAUUCUGCCUUGCGCCAAAAGGGUAUCCAGCAGAGUGGAAGCAGCUGCUUCACCCGGGAUGGAGGAGGAUGUUCAACCAGCUCUCAGAGGUCAUGCCUGAACUCUAAGGACAUGGCUUUAUCCUUCUCAGGAUGUAUUCUUCGCCUGCUACAUCUUGAACACAGCAACCACGAGCAGUCUUCAUCCCAUGACCGCUGCCCCCGCCUUGUUUCCACAGACCCAAGCUCCUGCAGUGCUCGAGUCACAUGAUCAAGCGCUCAUUUCUGUUUGUGAAGUUUCUCAGCCAAAAGGAAAACCAUUAGGUAUCAAAUUGCAAGUAGAAAGCAUCCAAGAAGCUGCCUAUUCCAGCACCAGUUCCUGCCAAAGAACCUUAAAUAAACUUGGUGAAGGGAAGAUGUCUGAAAUUACUCUAUACUCAGUAUAUUUAGUUAGAUUAAUAAUAGAACUUGAUUUCAUCUAACUAAUUAAUUUGAGUUCUAAAAGCAGACACAAAUAAUAGGCUUGUUUUUUUUCAUUUUUUUUUCAUUUUGAUUCCCUUUGGGGAUUUUUUUUAGGGGGGGUGGUGUAAAAUGUUAGUCAAUGUACUACUAAGGAUAAAAGAAAAACUAUCUAUCUAAAGAGUGAAGUAGCUCUUUAUAUUUUUAACCAAAGGUGAGAGGUAAAGUCAAGCAAUUUCUCUAACAAUCAAUUGUUAUAUACAGCAGUAACAUGGAUAGAAAAGGAUACUCAAACAGGAAAAAAAAAUCAAUACAACUUAAAAAACAUAAUUAAACACGUA